rnacentral:rRNA from 1 species
AUGUUGUCUUGCAGGGGCGGAGAAAGCUUAACCCUAGCCCCUCAAUUUUGCCACCGUCUCUCUCGAUUCCUUCCAUCCAGUUCCGAACCCUUCUUCCCCUUCUCCCCCAUGGCUGCCGCCAAUUGGAAUCCGCCUACCCUUCCCGAGUGCGACGGUUACGACGCCGCCGUCCUCCUCGACACGCGGUGCUACAUAGCCGAUCUUCACAACUGCACCACCGCCUGGGGCACCACGAGCAGAGGCUCCCCGAUCCAGGUGACCUUCUGCGCCGCCCGCCCGCCUCUCCUCUCCCACUUUUGCGUCCGCUGCCCCGACCUGGACUUCCUCCGCUCAAAGCCUAUAGUCGUCGCCACCGACGCCGACCUCGUGCUCCUCCGCGUCCCCAUCGACCUCAAGGCGCCCCUUGAUGCACGGUCCUGGGACUACUUCGUAUACAAGCCGCAAGCCCAUCAGCUGGACCUGCUCCCGAACCCGCACCCCAUGAGCUUCCACGACUCUGCGACCGCCCUCCUCAGCCGCGAAGACGGCGCCUGGUACGCCGUCGCCGCCAUCAGCAGUUGGUGCCCAGUGUACGAGAGCAAUGGUGACUCGAUCAUUAGGUGGGAUUUCCGCCUCCACCUGUACCGCUCCUCCGAUUCCAAGGGUUGGACCACCACACCUGUGUCAGUGGAGGAGCUUGUGAGGGACAAGCUUGUCCCGUUGCCUUGCGAUGUGGAGGCUGAGAUGAUGUAUCACAAGACGGCCAAGACUCUCCCAAUUGGUGGUGAGCGUGGUACUGUAGCCUGGGUGGACCUCUGGCGUGGCAUCCUCCUCUGUGAUGUACUCGGGGAGCGACCAGUGUUCCAAGACAUCCCACUACCUGUACCUGCAAGGGGAAACUGGGGUCGUCUCCUCGAGCAAUGUGAGCCCAACUAUGUCCGUGAUGUUGCCAUCACUCGGCACAAAGACACUAUCAAGUACAUUGAGAUGGAAACCUGGCCACCAAGAAAGUUGAUGAAGACCCCUGAUUCCUAUUCGGAAUGGGUGCGCUCUAAGUCAAGCAUCACUCAGGUGAUCCCUGGUGGAUGGAAGGCCACAACAUGGAGCAUGCCAAUACCAGUUGGGUCAUUCACUGAUUGGCAGCUUGACUGUCGAGUUGAAGCCAAUGAUGUUAGCAUGGAUACCAGCAACCCGCAUCAGUGCAACCUGCUGUCUAGGCUGAGCGGCAGCAACACCGUGCCAAUAUUGCCGAAACUUCUGAUGGCAUACCCUACUAUCAGCAUAGAUGAUGAUAUUGUCUACUUUAUUUAUACUACCAAACCCAGGCACAUGGGAAAAUUGGAGUUGGUGAUUGCUGUCGAUGUGAGGAACAAAGCCCUCCGAGGAGUAGCCGAGCUUGAUGCCCAGAAGAAGUUCAUUAGCGUGCCUGCCUUUUGCACCUGUAAGAUCUGCAAAUAUCCGAGGAAGAAUACAGGCACAGCAGUAGAGCUUAAACGAACUGAAAAAGAAGCUGUUAAGCGAACUGACAAAGAUCUUGGAACUGGUAAACCAACUAGGGUGCAUGUGAAGGAACCAACCCGCACAAGGCCGCCUGUGAAUAAGAGGGUAUUGAAGACCUUGGAGUUGCUACAAGCGAGAUCCUGGAGCUGCCCAAGGAGACUUGGUGAACAGACGCCCGAUGCUGAAAUUGCUAUCAAGUACUCCCUCCGUUCUAAAAUAGAUGACCUAACUUUAUACUAA